rnacentral:rRNA from 1 species
AUGGCGUCGUCGUGGUGGGGCGACAAGGAGGAGCAUGGCACGCCGGUGGUGGUCAAGAUGGACAACCCCUACUCGCUGGUGGAGAUCGACGGCCCCGGCAUGGACAGCUCCGAGAAGGCGCGGCGUAGCAAGAACGCCAAGCAGUUCAAGUGGGUGCUCCUCCUGCGCGCGCACCGCGCCGUCGGCUGCGUCGCGUGGCUCGCCGGCGGCUUCUGGGGCCUCCUGGGCGCCGUCAACCGGCGCGUCCGCCGGAGCCGGGACGCCGACGCGGAGCCCGACGCCGAGGCCUCGGGGCGCGGCCGCCACAUGCUCGGCUUCCUCCGCGCGUUCCUGCUCCUCUCGCUCGCCAUGCUCGCCUUCGAGACGGCGGCCUACCUCAAAGGGUGGCACUACUUCCCUCGGGACCUGCCGGAGCACUACCUCCGGCAGCUCCCCGAGCACCUGCAGAACCUGCCGGAGCACCUCCGCCACCUGCCGGAGAACCUCCGCCACCUGCCGGACGGCCUCCGCAUGCCGGAGCAGCAGGAGAUCCAGGGGUGGCUCCACCGCGCCUACGUGGCGUGGCUCGCCUUCCGCAUCGACUACAUUGCGUGGGCCAUAGAGAAGCUCUCCGGCUUCUGCAUCGUCCUCUUCAUGGUGCAGUCCAUCGACCGCAUCCUCCUCUGCCUCGGCUGCUUCUGGAUCAAGGUCCGCGGCAUCAAACCCGGCCUCGUCGCCACCAAGAAACGUGGCAACAAAUACGCUGAUGACAAUGACCUCGAGGACGGCGAUGACCUCGGCGCCUACUUCCCCAUGGUCCUUCUGCAGAUGCCCAUGUGUAACGAGAAAGAGGUGUACGAGACGUCGAUCUCACACGUGUGCCAGAUCGACUGGCCGCGGGAUCGCAUGCUGGUGCAGGUGCUGGACGACUCGGACGACGAGACGUGCCAGAUGCUCAUCAGGGCGGAGGUGACCAAGUGGAACCAGAGGGGAGUGAACAUCAUCUACCGCCACCGGCUGUCGCGUACAGGGUACAAGGCCGGCAACCUCAAGUCCGCCAUGAGCUGCGAGUACGUCAAGGACUACGAGUUCGUCGCCAUCUUCGACGCCGACUUCCAGCCCAACCCAGACUUCCUAAAGCUCACAGUCCCACACUUCAAGGGGAACCCGGAGCUUGGGCUGGUGCAGGCGCGUUGGAGCUUCGUGAACAAGGACGAGAACCUGCUGACCCGGCUGCAGAACAUCAAUCUGUGCUUCCAUUUCGAGGUCGAGCAGCAGGUCAACGGCAUCUACCUAAACUUCUUCGGCUUCAAUGGCACCGCGGGUGUGUGGCGCAUCGAGGCCCUCGAGGACUCGGGCGGUUGGAUGGAGCGCACCACCGUGGAGGACAUGGACAUCGCCGUGCGCGCCCAUCUACAGGGAUGGAAGUUCAUCUACCUCAACGAUGUUAAGGUGCUCUGUGAGCUGCCGGAGUCGUACCAGGCCUACCGGAAGCAGCAGCACCGGUGGCACUCCGGCCCCAUGCAGCUCUUCCGCCUCUGCCUCCCGGCCAUCAUCAAGUCCAAGAUCCCGUUGUGGAAGAAGGCCAACCUGGUGAUGCUCUUCUUCCUCCUCAGGAAGCUCAUCCUGCCCUUCUACUCCUUCACGCUCUUCUGCGUCAUCCUGCCGCUCACCAUGUUCGUGCCCGAGGCGGAGCUGCCGAUCUGGGUCAUCUGCUACGUGCCCAUGAUCAUGUCGGUGCUCAACAUCCUGCCGGCGCCCAAGUCCUUCCCCUUUGUCAUCCCAUACCUCCUCUUCGAGAACACCAUGUCCGUGACCAAGUUCAACGCCAUGGUGUCGGGGCUGUUCCAGCUGGGCAGCUCCUACGAGUGGGUCGUCACGAAGAAGGCCGGCAGGACCUCCUCCGAGUCCGACAUCUUCGCGAUGGCGGAGAAGACCGACACCGCCACCAGGCCCGCCCCCAGGCUCGUCCGCGGAGUGUCCGAGGCUGGGCUGGAGGCAUGGGCCAAGACACACCAACUUGACAACAAGGACCUGCAACUCAAGGCCGAGGCAGAGGAGGUCACAUCACUGGCAGCCGCGAUCAAGAAGACCAGUAAGGCCAAGCCUCCCAACAGGAUCUUCAAGAAGGAGCUGGCACUGGCCUUCCUCCUCCUCAUCGCGGCGACACGCAGCCUGCUCUCGGCGCAGGGGCUGCACUUCUACUUCCUGCUCUUCCAGGGCGUCACCUUCCUCGUCGUCGGCCUCGACCUUAUCGGCGAGCAGGUCAGCUAG